rnacentral:lncRNA from 1 species
GGGUGCCACAUUCCCCUUCUUCCUCUACUGGUUGUUCAUCUACUUCUGUAUGUGCUUUGUCUGUUUCUUGUAAUGAUGACAAUAUGUCUGACAGCAAGGAUGUUGCCUUGCCUUCAACUAUGCAUAAUUCCAUUUGUAAUAAUGUUGUUACAACUGAUAUGAAUUACAUUUGGCAUUUACGACUAGCACAUACUUCCUUUGCAAAUAUGAGACAUAGCUCUGCUUUGUCUUUUCCAUUUGCUUCUAAACAACCUUUUCCUUGUUCUGUCUGUCCUAUGGCCAAACA